AUUUCCCAAACCCAAAUAGCUCCUCCUUCUCUCUUCUUUCUCUCUCCUAAGAAGAAGAACACCAUAGAAGGUCAAAUUCAAGGAGGUUAUAGGGUUGGAAAACUCAAAAUUUCUCCAUCAAUCUUCAUCAAAUAUCAAGGUAUGAGAUUCCUUUCAUCUUUGGGAUCUCUUUCCCCAAAGGGUUUUAUAAAAUUGAUUUCGAAAGUAUGAAAUUCAAGUGAGUUUUCAUCCAAUACGAAAUUGAUCUUGUGAUUUGCUUUUUUUUAAUGAUUUUUUUAAAAUAUUAUGAAUAUAUUAAUAUAUAUUAUAACUCAAUUAUGUUAUUUCUUUAUGGAUUGGUCUAGUUUGUAGAAAAUGACAUUUUCCCCUAAACCCUAGGUUGUGAUCUUGAAUUGAAUUGUAUAGUGUUAAUACAAUUGGCUUGGUUAGUGUGUGAAUUACUAUCCUAUGUUGUUAUUAUUUCAAUUAUGAGCAGAUUAUGAUAUAUUAUAAUCCAAUUAUGCUAGUUCUUGAGUAAUUGACCUAAGUCUCUAAUUUUAGUCUAUGAACUAGUGAUGAAUUGUUGUGUAGUGAUCCAAUUUACUUCAUUAUUAUGUUGGUUACUAUUGUGUGAUAAUAUUAGACUCAUUGUUGGGUUGGAUUUUAGGGUUGAUGGUAAGACCUUGAUGAUGGCAUUGUGAAGGAGAUUUGGGUAAGUCUUGUGAUCUCUAUUCUUUACUUCAAUUGUGGUUACUUGUGAUUAAGUGAUGAUGUUGUAUUCAAGUAUACCUUAUAUUAAGAUUGAUAGGGUUGGUAUGAUGUUGAAUUGAAAUGUCUUGACUAUGGUUUAUGAGGUGUUGGGUAAGAUGUAAAUGUUACAAGGAUGGUGAUAACUUCUCAAUGUGCUUUAUUAUGAAGUGAUAUGUAAAUGUGCUAACCUCACUUGUGUGAAUUGUAAUGAAAAGAUAAUACUCAUGAAAUUCUUAUUGAGCUAUGAUGAUUAUGAUUAUAUAAGGGAUAUACCCCAUGACCUACAUUAAGAUAUGAUUAUUAAUAAAGGUAUUAAAGACAGUUCAAAAGGGACUCUAGCUUAGGACCGAGUGAACUAGAGGUGAGGAGUGUACCUUCCACUUAGGGAAGGUGGGAUUAGUAAUGUACUCUUGAGAUUGGAGACUAUAAUGCAUGUAGGAUAAAGAGGGUCCCAACUAUAUCUCCUAGUUCUUUAACUGUGUUGCCUCCAUAGGAACACUAGCUUAUGGAUCCACGUAGUUGUUAUGUUCAUGUUUUGGUACUACCUUGGCAAGUAGUCCACCUUCCUUCGGUGUAGGGUUCUAUGACACCGGAUUCCACAUUAGCUCAUGUUGUCUAUGUUGGUUAAGGCAAGAUGUUCGCGAUAGUAAAAUAAAGUAAUAAAAUGGACUCUAACUAGGAUAACCUGAGAGGUUUGACUUAGUCUAGGUAGGGGUAUGAGACUCUACCUAUACAUUGCACUAGUUAGCAUUAAGGGAAGUCUUAGAAGGAUGUUCUUAUAUAUGUAUAUGCUUAUAAAUGUAAAUGAUAUGUAUAUGAUGAUCUUACAUGUUGAUGACACUAUAUGAUAUUGGCUUCACUUAUGAACAUGUCGUUGGUCCUGCUAAAGUAUGAUGAUGUUUACUCAUAAUAACAUGCCAUGUGAAGUUAGACAUUGGUUAUGGUUUUUUUUAGGUUUACUUGAUUGAGUAAGGUUAUGGGACUUUGCUUAGUUAUUACACUAGUGGACUUAAUGAGGGUUCAUGAGUAAUUGUAUUGCUUUGAUUAUGUUGUAAUGAACUCUUAUUCAUGCUUGUUGAUAUUAUAAGUUGAUGAUAGAGUUGUCUUAAUUAUAUGUUCAAGUAAGAUGAUAUGCUUAUUGACUUGAUUAGGAUUAAUAUUGUUCGUCGUGUGAUGUACAUGAUCUUGACUUAAUGAAUAUGUCUUAUUGGUUGGCAUAAUCUUCUUGUAUGUGCAUAAGAGUUUUUCAAAGGAAAUUGCAGACUUCAAAUGAAAUGUCUCUUUUUAGCAUGAUUUUAUGAUGUGUGUGCAUAUGGUCCUAUACUUAGUACAAGUAAUGUGCUAACCCCAUUUUCUCCCUUUCCACAACAUUUUAGGUUUCGAUCGUUGAAGGCUUUUGAGACGACUUUGAAGGAAGACUUGGAAUUCUCACUCAUCCAAGUUGGGUAGGUCCUCACUUUUCGAGGGCAAUGCCACUAUCAAGCUAUUGAUGUUGUUGUAGUCUUAAAGACAGUACUUUCAUUUCUUUCUUUUGAGUCCUAAAGAUUGUAUAGCAUACAGUGACUUUUAUUAUAUUGUUGUAUGUGUUAUGUCCAAUUUUUAUACUCUUGUUUAGACGGUUAUGAGAUGAUACAUCCGAUUUUAAGACUAUGUUAUAUUAUAUAUAAAU
rnacentral:lncRNA from 1 species